rnacentral:rRNA from 1 species
GGGUUGUGAGGUUAAGCGACUAAGCGUACACGGUGGAUGCCCUGGCAGUCAGAGGCGAUGAAGGACGUGCUAAUCUGCGAUAAGCGUCGGUGAGGUGAUAUGAACCGUUAUAACCGGCGAUUUCCGAAUGGGGAAACCCAGUGUGAUUCGUCACACUAUCAUUAACUGAAUCCAUAGGUUAAUGAGGCGAACCGGGGGAACUGAAACAUCUAAGUACCCCGAGGAAAAGAAAUCAACCGAGAUUCCCCCAGUAGCGGCGAGCGAACGGGGAGCAGCCCAGAGCCUGAAUCAGUGUGUGUGUUAGUGGAAGCGUCUGGAAAGGCGCGCGAUACAGGGUGACAGCCCCGUACACAAAAAUGCACAUACUGUGAGCUCGAUGAGUAGGGCGGGACACGUGGUAUCCUGUCUGAAUAUGGGGGGACCAUCCUCCAAGGCUAAAUACUCCUGACUGACCGAUAGUGAACCAGUACCGUGAGGGAAAGGCGAAAAGAACCCCGGCGAGGGGAGUGAAAAAGAACCUGAAACCGUGUACGUACAAGCAGUGGGAGCACGCUUCGGCGUGUGACUGCGUACCUUUUGUAUAAUGGGUCAGCGACUUAUAUUCUGUAGCAAGGUUAACCGAAUAGGGGAGCCGAAGGGAAACCGAGUCUUAACUGGGCGUUAAGUUGCAGGGUAUAGACCCGAAACCCGGUGAUCUAGCCAUGGGCAGGUUGAAGGUUGGGUAACACUAACUGGAGGACCGAACCGACUAAUGUUGAAAAAUUAGCGGAUGACUUGUGGCUGGGGGUGAAAGGCCAAUCAAACCGGGAGAUAGCUGGUUCUCCCCGAAAGCUAUUUAGGUAGCGCCUCGUGAAUUCAUCUCCGGGGGUAGAGCACUGUUUCGGCAAGGGGGUCAUCCCGACUUACCAACCCGAUGCAAACUGCGAAUACCGGAGAAUGUUAUCACGGGAGACACACGGCGGGUGCUAACGUCCGUCGUGAAGAGGGAAACAACCCAGACCGCCAGCUAAGGUCCCAAAGUCAUGGUUAAGUGGGAAACGAUGUGGGAAGGCCCAGACAGCCAGGAUGUUGGCUUAGAAGCAGCCAUCAUUUAAAGAAAGCGUAAUAGCUCACUGGUCGAGUCGGCCUGCGCGGAAGAUGUAACGGGGCUAAACCAUGCACCGAAGCUGCGGCAGCGACACUAUGUGUUGUUGGGUAGGGGAGCGUUCUGUAAGCCUGUGAAGGUGUACUGUGAGGUAUGCUGGAGGUAUCAGAAGUGCGAAUGCUGACAUAAGUAACGAUAAAGCGGGUGAAAAGCCCGCUCGCCGGAAGACCAAGGGUUCCUGUCCAACGUUAAUCGGGGCAGGGUGAGUCGACCCCUAAGGCGAGGCCGAAAGGCGUAGUCGAUGGGAAACAGGUUAAUAUUCCUGUACUUGGUGUUACUGCGAAGGGGGGACGGAGAAGGCUAUGUUGGCCGGGCGACGGUUGUCCCGGUUUAAGCGUGUAGGCUGGUUUUCCAGGCAAAUCCGGAGAAUCAAGGCUGAGGCGUGAUGACGAGGCACUACGGUGCUGAAGCAACAAAUGCCCUGCUUCCAGGAAAAGCCUCUAAGCAUCAGGUAACAUUAAAUCGUACCCCAAACCGACACAGGUGGUCAGGUAGAGAAUACCAAGGCGCUUGAGAGAACUCGGGUGAAGGAACUAGGCAAAAUGGUGCCGUAACUUCGGGAGAAGGCACGCUGAUACGUAGGUGAAGUCCCUCGCGGAUGGAGCUGAAAUCAGUCGAAGAUACCAGCUGGCUGCAACUGUUUAUUAAAAACACAGCACUGUGCAAACACGAAAGUGGACGUAUACGGUGUGACGCCUGCCCGGUGCCGGAAGGUUAAUUGAUGGGGUCAGCGCAAGCGAAGCUCUUGAUCGAAGCCCCGGUAAACGGCGGCCGUAACUAUAACGGUCCUAAGGUAGCGAAAUUCCUUGUCGGGUAAGUUCCGACCUGCACGAAUGGCGUAAUGAUGGCCAGGCUGUCUCCACCCGAGACUCAGUGAAAUUGAACUCGCUGUGAAGAUGCAGUGUACCCGCGGCAAGACGGAAAGACCCCGUGAACCUUUACUAUAGCUUGACACUGAACAUUGAGCCUUGAUGUGUAGGAUAGGUGGGAGGCUUUGAAGUGUGGACGCCAGUCUGCAUGGAGCCGACCUUGAAAUACCACCCUUUAAUGUUUGAUGUUCUAACGUAGACCCGUGAUCCGGGUUGCGGACAGUGUCUGGUGGGUAGUUUGACUGGGGCGGUCUCCUCCUAAAGAGUAACGGAGGAGCACGAAGGUUGGCUAAUCCUGGUCGGACAUCAGGAGGUUAGUGCAAUGGCAUAAGCCAGCUUGACUGCGAGCGUGACGGCGCGAGCAGGUGCGAAAGCAGGUCAUAGUGAUCCGGUGGUUCUGAAUGGAAGGGCCAUCGCUCAACGGAUAAAAGGUACUCCGGGGAUAACAGGCUGAUACCGCCCAAGAGUUCAUAUCGACGGCGGUGUUUGGCACCUCGAUGUCGGCUCAUCACAUCCUGGGGCUGAAGUAGGUCCCAAGGGUAUGGCUGUUCGCCAUUUAAAGUGGUACGCGAGCUGGGUUUAGAACGUCGUGAGACAGUUCGGUCCCUAUCUGCCGUGGGCGCUGGAGAACUGAGGGGGGCUGCUCCUAGUACGAGAGGACCGGAGUGGACGCAUCACUGGUGUUCGGGUUGUCAUGCCAAUGGCACUGCCCGGUAGCUAAAUGCGGAAGAGAUAAGUGCUGAAAGCAUCUAAGCACGAAACUUGCCCCGAGAUGAGUUCUCCCUGACCCUUUAAGGGUCCUGAAGGAACGUUGAAGACGACGACGUUGAUAGGCCGGGUGUGUAAGCGCAGCGAUGCGUUGAGCUAACCGGUACUAAUGAACCGUGAGGCUUAACCUUACAACGCCGAAG